GACGAACGCUGGCGGCGUGCCUAAUACAUGCAAGUAGAACGCUGAAGGAGGAGCUUGCUUCUCUGGAUGAGUUGCGAACGGGUGAGUAACGCGUAGGUAACCUGCCUGGUAGCGGGGGAUAACUAUUGGAAACGAUAGCUAAUACCGCAUAAUAGUAGAUGUCGCAUGACAUUUGCUUAAAAGGUGCAAUUGCAUCACUACCAGAUGGACCUGCGUUGUAUUAGCUAGUUGGUGAGGUAACGGCUCACCAAGGCAACGAUACAUAGCCGACCUGAGAGGGUGAUCGGCCACACUGGGACUGAGACACGGCCCAGACUCCUACGGGAGGCAGCAGUAGGGAAUCUUCGGCAAUGGACGGAAGUCUGACCGAGCAACGCCGCGUGAGUGAAGAAGGGUUUCGGAUCGUAAAGCUCUGUUGUAAGAGAAGAACGAGGGUGAGAGUGGAAAGUUCACACUGUGACGGUAUCUUACCAGAAAGGGACGGCUAACUACGUG
rnacentral:rRNA from 1 species